AUGAAUCCUAAUGUCCGCGUUACUCAUCCAUGUGCAGAGGGGAAUAGCAGGUUAUGCGUCUCGGUGAGAGACUACUACUGUUACAUGCUCCAGACACGACCUGGUAUAUUCAAUCCCAUACUUUGUGGAGCACGAUUACUCCAGCAAGGGGUGGACAUGUACAUCAAGAUUGAGAGUUGUAGGUUGAAAUGGUACGGGAAGAACCAGACAAAGAUCCGUGCCGACCUGUAUAAAGGAGUUGUUGAUGCAAUUACAUCCGGGGAGACCCGAGCAAGCGCUGUUGGAGUAAGGAUAGUGCUCCCUGGAACGUACCCAGGUGGCGACCGCGACGUGAAGCGGAGGCAUAUGGAUGCCAUGGCAAUUGUCCAUACCUACGGGAAGCCUGACAUCUUCUUGACCAUGACCUGCAACCCUAACUGGGAAGAGAUAAUGAAUGAGUUGUUUCCUGAUCAGACAGCGCAAGACCGACCUGAUCUUGUGGCUCGUGUGUUCCAUGGCAAGCUAGAGGCUAUGAAAGAGAUGUUGUUCAAGAAGAAUAUCUUGGGUGUUGUUGUCGCUCAUGUAUACGUAGUCGAGUUCCAGAAGAGGGGCCUCCCCCACGCACACUUUUUGUUGAUCAUGGAUUCUGCCUAUAAGCUUGUCGUUCUAGAGCAGUACGAUCGACUCAUUUCUACCGAGCUCCCAGACAAGCAGAAGUAUCCUGAACUCCACGCCUUGGUGGUGAAACAUAUGAUGCACGGACCAUGCGGUGCUCUCAACCCCAAAAAUGUGUGCAUGCAACAGAACGAGUGCAAGUGCAGAUACCCGCGGCCGUUCAAUGAAAACACGGCAUAG
rnacentral:rRNA from 1 species